rnacentral:rRNA from 1 species
UCCUGACUGACCGAUAGUGAACCAGUACCGUGAGGGAAAGGCGAAAAGAACCCCGGCGAGGGGAGUGAAAAAGAACCUGAAACCGUGUACGUACAAGCAGUGGGAGCACGCUUAGGCGUGUGACUGCGUACCUUUUGUAUAAUGGGUCAGCGACUUAUAUUCUGUAGCAAGGUUAACCGAAUAGGGGAGCCGAAGGGAAACCGAGUCUUAACUGGGCGUUAAGUUGCAGGGUAUAGACCCGAAACCCGGUGAUCUAGCCAUGGGCAGGUUGAAGGUUGGGUAACACUAACUGGAGGACCGAACCGACUAAUGUUGAAAAAUUAGCGGAUGACUUGUGGCUGGGGGUGAAAGGCCAAUCAAACCGGGAGAUAGCUGGUUCUCCCCGAAAGCUAUUUAGGUAGCGCCUCGUGAAUUCAUCUCCGGGGGUAGAGCACUGUUUCGGCAAGGGGGUCAUCCCGACUUACCAACCCGAUGCAAACUGCGAAUACCGGAGAAUGUUAUCACGGGAGACACACGGCGGGUGCUAACGUCCGUCGUGAAGAGGGAAACAACCCAGACCGCCAGC